AUGGCCGCUUCGUGAAGAAACGAUACUUUAAAAAAACUGUUCCGAAAACAUCACGAGUUUCACGGAAAUGGGAGGUUGUAGAUGGCUCUGGAGUCUUUGACCAUUACGAGUUUAUUGCUCGAAAAUCUCGGGGCUGAGCAAGAACAAAAGCAAAGCUUGAUGAUGAAAAAGCUAAAGACCAACAGAACGAUGAGGAGGAGGAGAUGAUGAUGCUUGGCUUCGAUCAGGAAUUCUUAAAGCAAUACAGAGAGCAGAGGAUGCGAGAAAUGAUGGCCACUCUGAAGCAUAAUCGACCAUUGUUUGGUAAAGUGAUCCAGCUUAAUCGAGAGAACUUCGUGGAUGCCAUUGACAAGGAACACCAAAGUGUAGCAGUCAUCAUUCACAUUAGCUCUCCGGCAGUACCAGCAUGUGAUGUUAUGAAUGGUUGUCUCCACUGCUGCCUAGAGUAUAACCACAUCAAGUUUUGCUACAUACAUGCAUCAGACGUCAACAUAGUCUGAACUCUAUCCAAAAUGGCCGACCAGCUCGGAAGACUUUUAUGCUGGCGACCUGGAGACCUACCUGCAAAAAGCUUUAUUUACACUCAAAAAGACACUGAAAUUACACGAAAGAGAUGGUCUAAGCCAGAGAGUGCCCUUUCUGGCGAGCAGAUU